rnacentral:misc_RNA from 1 species
AUUGCUCAAGCAACGCAAUAUGCGAGUUACGAGUGCAGUUUAAAAAUGUCAUAAGGUUCUAAUUGGCAAUGAGAGGAUGAGCCAUGGAAUCACGAAGCGCGCCGCCAAGCCCCGACGAGCCGGGGGAGGCGGUGUACGACUCUCGUUGCGGACGUUAUCCGACUCCUUCACUGCAAAGAACUUUUGCAAGUUGUCGAGAAACGACGCGACCUCGACCACAUCAUCGCCACGUUGCUUCAGAACCAGCACGGCCAGACGACCGUGUUCUUACUACUGCCGAGGUUCACGACUACCCUUCAUCCGAAUCAGGUAUCGCAGCCGACUGCCCACAUCCACAUACCAGCAACGCUGACGAUAGUCCUUCUUAUGACAGAUCUGACUAUGAAGGUAAUUCUAGUUAUAGUCUGAGACGUACAUCAGAUUACCAUCAUACUAUUGAUUGUAAGCAUCGACCUGUGGACUAUAAUCGUAGUCAUACACCAGAUUAUAAUCAUGGACACGGAUCAGAUUGUGAUCGACCCUAUCCAAGAUCUCAAACUUCCCGCCGACCCCACAGAAAACAUAGACGAGACGAAGAUGACGGAGCACAAUCGCUUGAUGAAAGAUGUGCUCGAGACUUGGAUGAAAUUUUACCGGCUAGACUCGCUGCUGUCAAUUUAUCCAGAGAACCACCCCCACAGACAUGGAAUCGAAGCAAUAUCGCAGCGACUAUGGAAAGAUUUGAACCUGUUGAUUAUUCGUACGCCUAUUAUGAUCAUCAUUUAUCAAUGCCAUCUUCGUCAAGAAAAACGAACCGCCAACGAGGACGCGGUGGUAUCCCUAAAGAUCGAUCUGCUCGUCACAAUUACGUUACGAGAUAUGGAACUGAAGAAAAUAUCUAUGAAGAGAUUACAGAUGGCUCAAGAACUUGUCCAAAACAUAGAUAUGUUCCUAGACAAUCAUUGGUAUCACUUGAUAGAAGUGUAGUCGAAGAAGAAGUACGGCGAGUAGAGUCAAGGCAUAAACGAAUUUUAGGGGAAUUAAACCUUAGCGUAGAAGCCAUGUUAAUGCCAGAAUGUGAGUCACCAGAUUCUGAACGUGCGGAAGAUAGAGAUAAUAUAGAGGAAUUACUUCGAGUAGGACCAACUGAUGAAUUAUUAUCACCAGCUAGUUGCAAUCCUCCUGACCUAGAUAGUGGUUUUAGUGGUAGCAGCAGUGGAGCCAGUUAUGUGGGUAGUUUACGACGAAAACCGACGGGUUCAGUGCCUCAUUUACCUGCCGUAGCAUAUGGAACACGUGGUGCUGGGGUACGCAUACUCGGUGCAGAAGAUUGUGGCCUCCGAUGUCCUAAAGAUAUCCCUUCCCCACGCAGUUCAAGUUGCGGUGAUGCAAAAACCAGUGGAUUUUGGAAUAAAAAAGCUUGGAAGAAAAUAUCAGGCUUUUCGAGCUCAAAUAGCAUCAACAAAGCUGGACUUACUGGUCUGCUCGUUAGGUACACUUUCCGGCGUAAGUCCGGCUCGCAGGGCUCUCAGGGCAAGCGGCGUGCCGAGCCCGUCAAAUGCGAUGCGUGCCUCUCACAACGAUGUUAGCCGCUCUAUUUAUGAUGAAGCCUGUAGGCCAAGCAGAGCUAAAUCCAGAACAACUACUAUACCAUACAGCUACUCCAACGGAAAACUGGUGGUGCCGCUGGAUUCCCUAGCACAGAGCUGAGGGGCCGAGUCCCCUUGCCAU